rnacentral:rRNA from 1 species
GACGAACGCUGGCGGCGUGCUUAACACAUGCAAGUCGAACGGAAAGGCCCGGCUUUUGCGGGGUGCUCGUGAGGCGAACGCGUGUGUAACACGCGAGUAAACUGCACUUGACUUUGGGAUAACUUCAGGAAACAGGGGCUAAUACCGGAUAGGAGCUCCUGCUGCAUGUUGUUGAUUGGUAAGUUUCGGCGGUUGUGGAUGUACUCGCUGCUUAUCAGCUUGAUGGUGGGGUAGUGGCUUACCAAGGCUUUGACGGGUAGCCGGCCUGAGAGGGUGACCGGCGACCUGGGGACUGAGGGACGGCCCAGAAUCCUACGGGAGGCAGCAGGGGGGAAUAUUGCACAAUGGGCGGAAGCCUGAUACAGCAACGCCGCGUUCGUGAUGACGGCCUUCGGGUUGUAAACCGCUGUCGCCUGUGACGAAGCGUGAGUGACGGUAAUGGGUAAAGAAGCACCGGCUAACUACGUG